rnacentral:rRNA from 1 species
GACGAACGCUGGCGGCGUGCCUAAUACAUGCAAGUCGAACGAGAGCGACCGGUGCUUGCACUGGUCAAUCUAGUGGCGAACGGGUGGGUAACACGUGGGUAACCUGCCCAUCAGAGGGGGAUAACAUCCGGAAACGGAUGCUAAAACCGCAUAGGUCUUCGAGCCGCAUGGCUUGAAGAGGAAAAGAGGCGCAAGCUUCUGCUGAUGGAUGGACCCGCGGUGCAUUAGCUAGUUGGUGAGGUAACGGCUCACCAAGGCCGUGAUGCAUAGCCGACCUGAGAGGGUGAUCGGCCACAUUGGGACUGAGACACGGCCCAAACUCCUACGGGAGGCAGCAGUAGGGAAUCUUCCGCAAUGGACGCAAGUCUGACGGAGCAACGCCGCGUGAGUGAAGAAGGUUUUCGGAUCGUAAAACUCUGUUGUUAGAGAAGAACAAGUGCUAGAGUAACUGUUAGCGCCUUGACGGUAUCUAACCAGAAAGCCACGGCUAACUACGUG